GACGAGGGAUCCUAGCGUUGUUCGGAAUUAUUGGGCGUAAAGCGGGUGUAGGUGGCUAUGUAAGUCAAGUGUGAAAGCCUGGGGCUCAACCCCAGAAGUGCAUUUGAUACUGCGUAGCUUGAGUGCUAGAGAGGAUAGUAGAAUUGUUGGUGUAGUGGUGAAAUACGUAGAUAUCAACAGGAAUACCGGUGGCGAAGGCGGCUAUCUGGCUAAGCACUGACACUCAGACCCGAAAGCGUGGGGAUCAAACAGGAUUAGAAA
rnacentral:rRNA from 1 species